UUUCGGAAAUAGAGAAAUAAAUUUAAAAAUUUUGAAGUGUUUAGUGGUCUUUUUUUUUUUUUGAGAGAAAUAGGUGCGUAGCACGCUACCCGCUUCGUUUAGAAAUAAACUUAGCUGAAAAGCCCUUUGUGAUUUGCUCUAGAGAUGGUCGGUUUUUAGAAGCCUAAUAUUAAAAAUAUUUUUUUUAUGUUCCAAGUUAUUUCAAAUAUACAGUUAAAUUCUUGAAUUGUUAGCAAUAACCGUUAUCUCUAUGAAAUUAUUAUUUUGCCCUUCCAAACAUAAAUAUAUAAUUUUCUACCAUCACUAAUUUUUUUUAUUUGCCAUUAAGUUAGGAACAAAAUAAGUAUUUUGAUUUUUACUUUUUUCAAAUAUACUGCUCUAUCAUCACCAAUUUUUCUUAUUUACUCUGUAAAUUAAAGGCAAAAGAGUUAUUAAAU
rnacentral:lncRNA from 1 species